rnacentral:rRNA from 1 species
AUACGGAGGAUCCGAGCGUUAUCCGGAUUUAUUGGGUUUAAAGGGUGCGUAGGCGGACAAAUAAGUCAGUGGUGAGAUCACUCAGCUUAACUGAGUAACUGCCAUUGAUACUGUUAGUCUAGAAUGUAAAUGGAGUAGGCGGAAUGAAUCAUGUAGAGGUGACAUUCAUAGAUAUGAUUCAGAACACCGAUCGCGAAGGCAGCUUGCUAAGAUACAAUUGACGCUGAGGCACGAAAGCGUGGGUAGCAAACAGGAUUAGAUACCCUGGUAGUCCACGCUGUAAACGAGGAUAACGCGUUGUCGGCGAUACACAGUCGGUGACUGAGCGAAAGCGAUAAGUUAUCCACCUGGGGAGUACGAUCGCAAGGUUGAAACUCAAAUGAAUUGACGGGG